UAUGUCACUUCAGUUAUUUUGGGGGCUGGCAUCGUUACGCAUUUGCUCAAUUUUCAUGUCCUGUGUGACGGCUCUGCUGGGCACAGGGCUACCCCCAGGAAGCUCCCUGCUCUACAGACAAGUGGCAUCGGAGAAAGGCCCUCCAGGAGGAGGGAACUGCAUGACCAGAAGCAAGGAAGCCUGGAGAUGUACAUUGUUUGAGGGAAGGGGCUGGAGAGGCUGAAGCCGGGGCCCUGGAUGUACCAAGGAGGAAGCUAGGAGGUUCUUUACUUCCCAGCCCUUAUCUGUCCCUAGCGAUGACAGGUAGAGCAGGUGGAAAGCUGCCCAAAGGCUUCUGAUUUGGCAGACCUGACCUCUGGGCCUGUUCUCUGGGUUUGUGCGCCCCAGGGCCUCAGUUUUCCCAUCUAAGCAAUGGGAGCUGGUCUGUGUUUUCAGAAGGGCCUUCCAUCUAUAAAAGAUCUUGAACCUUGCAACCCAGGGGCCCCUCCCAGAGCCUGGGUUUCCUGUUUAGGGUCUUAUCCAGCUCUGGGUCUGCGCAAUCAACGAGGUCAACCCCCCCCCUCCUACAACCAGUGUGCGAUGACGGACGCCUCCCGGACCAAUGCGGUACACAGCGAAGCCAGGGGGCGGGGCAGACGCACAUCCGAACUCACCCUCUACUUAAAUCUAGACCAACCAGCGUCGAGCUCGGCAUGUGCGCGGUAGGGUCACCGACCACUGCUAUCUGAGCAUGCGCAAUCUCUCGCCUAAGGCCUCCUCCCGCCUCGCAUGCGCAGCGCGCCGCGGUCGGAUUGAGGGGAGAAGGGAAGACACGAACCUUGGUUCCAUCCUUAAAGUCAGGGAGCUCUCCUCGGCCCUCCUGUAUCACACGCUUUUGGAUCCCGUCCUCCCGGAGUCUUGCGAUGAUAUCCGCCAUCCUCCUUCCCCGCUGCUCUCUUUCGGCAACUUCCGGACUCGCUCGGCAGCUUCCGGACCUGCUUCGGCAACUUCUAGCACUUCGGCAACUUCCGAGCUGGCGCCAUUUUGGCUGAGGGCAGACGCCAAAAAGGGCCCGAACGUGGAGGCGGACGGUGAUUGGUUCUCUGUGCGGCGCUGAGCGCGCGGGUCCAAUCGGGGGCGGGGCCUAAGACGGUCCAAGGGGAGGGCCCGGGCCUGUCAGAAAGGCGGGGUUGGAGUCCGCCCCGCGGGGCGAGGGCGUCCCUAACAAUUAUGUCAUUGAACUGAUUUCCAGAGGGCCCUCCCACGUGGCCGUGAGCCACUCCAUUUAAAGUAGUAGAAGUAUAAGAGCAUUAGGGAGCUGGAAUGGGGCGAGGGGAGCUCGACCGUAACGCCACCCCCUAAAACUACUAUUUUCGGGUAUUCCUUUCUAGGCUUUCCUUUCUUUGAGCAUAUCUAGCACCAUAGUCGUGACUUUUGGGUCCUGGAUGUUCCUCUUUGACAAAAGAAGUGGAUAGGCGUUCCCAGUUGUGGCUCAACGGAAGUUCUACAGGCAAGUUCUGCCAAAUCUGAAGCAACAAGUAGUUUGUAUCUUACACAGAUUGUCCCGGAAAAUGGAAAAAGAGAGAACGCCAACCAACAAGUUUUAUGAGGCUAGUUUCAUUUUAUUUCCUGAACCAGAUAAGGAUACCAUAAACCAAGAAAAGCAUACACUCAUUUUGCUCAUAUAGGUCUGAAAAACCCUAGAGGAAUGUUAAGCUGAUUGAAUCCACUGGUAUAUAUAAAAAUGUGUCCAUAUGCUAAGUGAAUGUCAUUUGCAAAAAGACACAUGCUACGUGAUUCCAUUUAUAGGAGGAACCUAGAGUAGUCGAGUUCAUAGACAAAGUUGUAGGGUGAGAGGAGGGAGGGAAAUACCAAGUUUUGUCCUGGAAUACAAAGAAGUCCUGGAGACCGGCUGUACAAUGCUGUGAACAUAGCGGGCGCGAUGGAACUACGCACUUCAAAAUGUUCAAGAUAGGAGUUCCUGCCGUGGCUCAGGGGUAAGGAACCCAACCCCAGUGGGUUAAGGAUCCAGCGUUGCCAUGAUCUGUGUGGUAGGCCAGAGACUCUGCUCGGAUCUGGCAUUGCUGUGGCUUCAGCACAGGCCUGCAACUAGAGCUCCAAUUCAACUCCUAGCCUAGGAACGUCCGUAUGCCGUGGGUGUGGCCCUUAAAAAAAAAAAAAAAAGUUUGAUAGUAAAUUUUAUGUUAUAUGUAUUUUACCACAAAAAUUUCAAUUUUUUUUUUCAAAAAAAAAAAAAAUCCCCAAAUCAAGUAGGACUCAUUCCAAGAAAGUAAGAAAGGUUUAACAUUAGAAACCUCCAGUACUGUGAUUCAUCAUUUCAGCGAACUAAAGGAGAAAACUCAUAUGAUCAUCUCAAAAUAUGCAGAAAAAGCAUUUGACAAAGCUUGUGUUGGUGACUAUUCAAAACUCACAGUUAGGAAAAAAGAGGAAGAUUCUCAGGUUGACAAAAGCCAUCUGCAAUUCAGUGUGAUAGAAGAAGCAUUCACAUUCCCUUCAAGAGCAGGAACGAAAUAAGGAGGGGUCUCUAUGAAUGGUGCUCUUUCGAAAAGUAUUAGAAGUCCCGGCCAAAGCACUAAACCAAGAAAAAGAAAUGAGUCACUGUAUCUGCAUAGAAAAUCCAGCAGAAUCUACAGACAAUUUUAACAAAUCAGGACUUCCCAUGUGGCUCAGAACAUAAUUACUCGGCGUUGCUUCUACCAUGGCUGUGGCUCGACCCCUAGCCUGGGAACUUCCAUGUGCUGCAGGUGCGGCCACUUGUUAAAAACACAAAAAACAAAUCAGAGUUCAGCAAUAUUAAAGGCGUAUAAGCUAAGCUACCCCAAAUCAAUAACACUCUUAACACUAUCCAUAGCCCACCCCAAAAUGCAGUAGAAAAUAAGAGACACUUCAAAGAGCAAUAAGGAGUUCCUGCUGUGGCUCAGAGAUUUAAGAACCCAACGUAGAGAUGAGGUGUGUUCAAUCCCCGGCCUGGGAACUUCCAUGUGCUGUGGGUGUGGCCCACACACACAUUUUAAAAAAGAACAAUAAAAUUCAAAGUAUUUAGGAAAUAGAAAACACAGCCCACAACUUUUGGAGAAAAAAAAAAUUUUUUUUCUUUUUAGGGCCGCGCCUGAGGCCUAUGGAAGUUCCUAAGCUGGGGGUCAAAUCCCAGCUGCAGCUGCCGGCCUACCCCACAGCCACGGCAACGCUGGAUCUUGAACUCACUCAUCGAGGCCAGGGAUCAAACCCACAUCCUCAUGGACACUUGUUGGGUUCAUUUCUGCUGGCCACAACAGAAACGCCAUAGAAAAAAACUUUUUAAGAACAUAAGAGAUGCACUGAAGUGACAGACCUUGUUAAUAACUAGAACAGUUUAACAUUUAAAGCUGCAGUUUAUCCUGAAAUUAAUCUGGAAGUUAAAUGAAACCCCAGAGAAAAUUAGGAGGAUUUUUCUUUUCUUUUUUUUUCUUUCUUUCUUUUUUUUUUUUUUGCUGUGCCUGCAGCAUGUAAAAUUUCCUGGGCUAGGGACCGAAGCUGAGCCACAGCUGUAACAAUGAUCCUUAACUGGCUGCACCACCAGGGAACUCCUGGGAAGAUUUUUGAAGUAUAUUUUUGUAAUAUUUCUGUAGAAUAAAGGUCCAUGAGAAGCUAGGCUA